GACUUGACAUCUCCUGAAUUACUCUUAAUCGAGGAAGUCCCUUCGGGGACAGGAAGACAGGUGGUGCAUGGUUGUCGUCAGCUCGUGUCGUGAGAUGUUGGGUUAAGUCCCGCAACGAGCGCAACCCUUAUUGUUAGUUGCUACUAUUAAGUUAAGCACUCUAACGAGACUGCCGCGGUUAACGUGGAGGAAGGUGGGGAUGACGUCAAAUCAUCAUGCCCCUUAUGUCUAGGGCUACACACGUGCUACAAUGGCUGGUACAACGAGCAGCAAACCCGCGAGGGGGAGCAAAACUUGAAAGCCAGUCCCAGUUCGGAUUGUAGGCUGAAACUCGCCUACAUGAAGUUGGAGUUGCUAGUAAUCGCGAAUCAGCAUGUCGCGGUGAAUACGUUCCCGGGUCUUGUACACACCGCCCGUCACACCAUGAGAGCCGGUAACACCCGAAGCCCGUGAGGUAACCGUAAGGAGCCAGCGGGCGAAGGUGGGAUUGGUGAUUGGGGUGAAGUCGUAACAAGGUAGCCGUAGGAGAACCUGCGGCUGGAUCACCUCCUUUCUAGGGA
rnacentral:rRNA from 1 species